GGGAACGCCCCCAGCCGGCUCACUUCCGGUGGGGUUCACAAGAUGUGGGGCAUCACUGUUAAGAAGAUCCCUCUGGCUGCCAUGAGGAGAAUGGAUUGGAAGGAGCCAGCAUGCCUCAGGAAGGUAGAGCUUUUAGGAGUCUGUUGUAGUUGCACAGGCAGUUAGUUACCAGAGGAUGGUUGCCACCAAGAUGGAGCCAAGGCUGAAAGAGGAAGACAUUCGGAGCUCCAGCACAGAUGGCAGGAAUCCCCAGGAUGACUUGGAGAAUAACCAGUCCAGACUAUAGCAAGUCUGGUUCUGGGGAAGGCUACUUCAAAAGGAUGAGCAAUUUGAGAGAGAUUUAGACAAUCAGCAACAAGGUUGGGGUUGAAUUGGUGAUAAAUACAUGAAAACUAAGCCAGUGGGACAAUUAAACAAUAUUAGAUGAAAAAGGAAAAGUGUUGAAAGGUUACUACAUGGCUCAGUUGUGCAGUUUCCACAUAAUCCCAAUAAUGUGAAUUGAAUAUUGAGCUGUACAAAAUUAUGGCAUAACUAUACUGGAAAGAUGGGGGAAUGAAAAGAAUAUUUGUGUGCAUAGAAAAGAGCUAAACCCUCAUGCACCAUGGUGGGGAGUCAGUGGGUAACACUGAAACAAAAUUCACCAAGCAGCGUAUCAUCUAGAGACAGGGGGUAAAAUUUAAAAAAAAUUUAAAAAAGGCUAAAACAGGUGUCUGCAAGCACUCUGAGAGUAGUGUCUGCUUUUCCUAUUUUUUUAAAAAAUAACAAUUGUAGAAUUGUUUGAUUGUUAAAUCUAUGUGCUUAUAUGUAUAACUUUAAUAAAAAUGAAAACAAACAAUAACAAAAAGGCUUUGUGCUUAUCAAAAUUACUAAUGUUGUUUGACCCAGCAAUACUACUUCUAGGAAUUUAUCUUAUAAAUGAUUUGGCAAAAUAAUGGAAUACAAGAUAAUUCAUUACAACACUAUCUAUAAUAAUGAUUGGAAACAAACUAGGGUUUGGUUAAAUAAAUUGUUGCUUUUAUACAAAGGAAUACUAUUCCGCUAUGAGCUAGGAACAAAAAAGCCCUUUGUGUACUGAAAAGAAAGACCUCAAAGAUAAAUUACAUGUGGAAUGUUCAUCCUUGGAGUUGAAAAAAAAAUUACAUGAAAAAUGCACAAUUCAGAACACUGUAUGUAUGCUACAAUUUGGGUUUUUAAAAAAGGGCUAGAAUAUAUAAAUACACAUGAUUUGUACAAAAUAUUCCUGGAAAAAUACGUUUGAAAAACCAAAUAAUAUUGGUUGCAUCUGGAAAGAUGUAUUGGGUGGCUAGGAAAUGGGUGGAGGAAGACUUUUACCCUAAACCCGUUUUAUGCAUUCUGAAAAUGUAAAAGGGUUACUUAUUUAAAAAACUAAGUAAUGCUGGCUAAUAUGGUGAAACCCCAUCUCUACUAAAAAAACAAAA